GAUGAACGCUAGCGGCAGGCCUAAUACAUGCAAGUCGAGGGGUAGAAGAGGCUUGCUUCUUUGAGACCGGCGCACGGGCGCGUAACGCGUAUGCAACCUACCUUCAUCUGGGGGAUAGCCCGGAGAAAUCCGGAUUAAUACCGCAUAAAAUCACAGGAUGGCAUUAUCCAAUGAUCAAACAUUUAUGGGAUGGAGAUGGGCAUGCGUGUCAUUAGCUAGUUGGCGGGGUAACGGCCCACCAAGGCGACGAUGACUAGGGGAUCUGAGAGGAUGGCCCCCCACACUGGUACUGAGACACGGACCAGACUCCUACGGGAGGCAGCAGUAAGGAAUAUUGGUCAAUGGAGGCAACUCUGAACCAGCCAUGCCGCGUGCAGGAAGACUGCCCUAUGGGUUGUAAACUGCUUUUAUUCGGGAAUAAACCUUAUUACGUGUAAUAAGCUGAAUAUACCGAAGGAAUAAGGAUCGGCUAACUCCGUGCCAGCAGCCGCCGUAACAC
rnacentral:rRNA from 1 species